UUAUUUUAGCGGCGGACGGGUGAGUAACGUGUGGGCAACCUACCUUUUACUGUGGAAUAAUCGUUGGAAACGACGACUAAUACCGCAUACGGGUUCUUGGAAGGCAUCUUCUAAGAAAGAAAGGAGUAAUUCGGUAAAAGAUGGGCCCGCAUCUGAUUAGCUAGUUGGUGAGAUAAUAGCCCACCAAGGCAACGAUCAGUAGCCGACCUGAGAGGGUGACCGGCCACAUUGGGACUGAGACACGGCCCAAACUCCUACGGAAGGCAGCAG
rnacentral:rRNA from 1 species